rnacentral:tRNA from 1 species
GGAGAGGUGACCGAGCGGCUGAAGGUGCACGCCUGGAAAGCGUGUGUGCGUUAACGCGUACCGGGGGUUCGAAUCCCCCCCUCUCCGCCA